AUGGGCGAGAGCCUGAACCAGCCAAGUAGCGUGCAGGAUGACGGCCCUAUGGGUUGUAAACUGCUUUUGUAUGGGGAUAAAGUCAAUCACGUGUGAUUGUUUGCAGGUACCAUACGAAUAAGGACCGGCUAAUUCCGUGCCAGCAGCCGCGGUAAUACGGAAGGUCCGGGCGUUAUCCGGAUUUAUUGGGUUUAAAGGGAGCGUAGGCUGGAGAUUAAGUGUGUUGUGAAAUGUAGACGCUCAACGUCUGACUUGCAGCGCAUACUGGUUUCCUUGAGUACGCACAACGUUGGCGGAAUUCGUCGUGUAGCGGUGAAAUGCUUAGAUAUGACGAAGAACUCCGAUUGCGAAGGCAGCUGACGGGAGCGCAACUGACGCUGAAGCUCGAAGGUGCGGGUAUCGAACAGGAUUAGAUACCCUGGUAGUCCGCACAGUAAACGAUGGAUGCCCGCUGUUGGUACCUGGUAUCAGCGGCUAAGCGAAAGCAUUAAGCAUCCCACCUGGGGAGUACGCCGGCAACGGUGAAACUCAAAGGAAUUGACGGGGGCCCGCACAAGCGGAGGAACAUGUGGUUUAAUUCGAUGAUACGCGAGGAACCUUACCCGGGCUUGAAUUGCAGACGAAGGAUUUAGAGAUAAUGACGCCCUUCGGGGUCUCUGUGAAGGUGCUGCAUGG
rnacentral:rRNA from 1 species